CUUUUGUCAUUUGCAGGCGAUGAAUUCCAUAUGUCAGAAGGAAAAUUUUGAAUCGUACAACCAGUCAGCAGCUACCCAUAAACCAGACCAACCUAUUAAGUCGAGCGGGCAGAAGCUGUGAUUCCCAGUGUAACACCGCAGAAUGACGGUUAGUUUUCGGCGAUGAAUUCCAUAUGUCAGAAGGAAAUUUAGAAUCGUACAACCAGUCAGCAGCUACCCAUAAACCAGACCAACCUAUUAAGUCGAGCGGGCAGAAGCUGUGAUUCCCAGUGUAACACCGCAGAAUGACGGUUAGUUUUCGAAAGUGGAAUAUCUCAGCAACCAUAGGGUUUACAGUCAUGAAACUUCACACACUAGUAUCUGAUAACAAUACAAAUCAGUGGCUAAAAGGAUAUUUCCAAGGUUUGUGAAAUUUUAAUU